rnacentral:tRNA from 1 species
CUAAGAUUCUACAUUAAACUAUUCUCUGACCACAUGUCUG